ACAUGUCUUUUUGAAAAUUUAUUAAAAGUCUGACCUGCUCUAUGAAUAGUUUAAUGGCCGCAGUAUAUUGACUGUGCAAAGGUAGCAUAAUCAUUAGUUUUUUAAUUAAGAACUGGAAUGAAUGGUUGGACGAAAUAAUAACUGUCUUAUUGUGAUUUAUAAUAUAAUUUUAUUUUUUAGUAAAAAAGCUUAAAUUGUAUUAAAAGACGAGAAGACCCUAUAAAUCUUUAUUAUUAAUUAAUUAAUUAAUUUGAAGAUUUAUUUUUUCAUUAAUUUUUUAAUAAUUUUAUUGGGGUGAUAUUGAAAUUUAAUUAACUUUUAAUUAUAAUAUUACAUAAAUCUAUGGUUUAUUGAUCUUUUAUUAAUGAUUAUAAGAAUAAGUUACUUUAGGGAUAACAGCGUAAUUUUUUUGGAGAGUUCUUAUCGAUAAAAAAGAUUGCGACCUCGAUGUUGGAUUAAGAUUCUAAUUUAAAUGCAAAAGUUUAAAGUUUAAGUCUGUUCGACUUUUAAAAUCUUACAUGA
rnacentral:rRNA from 1 species